GUGGUGUUGUUUCAGUGUAUGUCUGCAUCUACAAUGUAUCUGCUCUGCCCUGGUCUCUGUCUCUGUCUCUGUCUCUCCCCCUCUCUCUCUCUCUCUCUCUCUCUCUCCAGGCUUGAUAACUGCAGUAUAACAGCAGAGGGCUGUGCUGAUCUGGUCUCAGCUCUGGUAUCAAACCCCUCAUCACACCUGACAUGGCUGUAUCUGAGUCAUAAUAAACUAGGAGACUCUGGAGUGAAGCAGCUCUCUACUCUACUCAGGAGUCCAGACUGUAAACUACAGAGACUGGGGCUUAUGUCCUGCAGUAUAACAGCAGAGGGCGGUGCUGAUCUGGUCUCAGCUCUGAAAUCUAACCCCUCAUCACACCUGACAUAUCUUUAUCUGGGUGAUAAUAAACUUGGAGUCUCAGUAGUGCAGCAGCUCUUUGAUCUGAAGAAAGUUCCAAACUACAAACUAAAGGAAGUAUUUCUGUACGCAGCGCAAGACCCAGCGCAAGACCCUAAAUGUAGUAUAUCUUAGUGCCUCACACACCCUUUAUUGUCUGACUGGUGACUGUGGGGCAGCCGUGGCCUAAUGGUCAGUGAGGUGGUCUCAAGAUCAGAGGGUUGCAGGUUCGAAUCCCACCCUUACCUCUUCCUACACCUCCAUCCAUGGCUGAAGUGCCCUUGAACUUGACACCUAACCCCACACUGCUCCUGGGACUGUAACAAAUACCCUGUACCAAGGCACCUAACCCCACACUGCUCCAGGGACUGUAACCAAUACCCUGUACCAAGGCACCUAACCCCACACUGCUCCAGGGACUGUAACCAAUACCCUGUACCAAGGCACCUAACCCCACACUGCUCCAGGGACUGUAACCAAUACCCUGUACCAAGGCACCUAAUUCCACACUGCUCCUGGGACUGUAACAAAUACCCUGUAGAUAACUAAAUUUGCCCUGGAUAGAAGUAUCAGCUGAGUGUAAUGUAAUGUAAUGUAAUGUAUUACAGUGUUGCACUAUGUGAAUGUAGUGUAGUGUAAUGUAGUGUAAUGUAGUGUAAUGUAGUGUAGUGUAAUGUAGUGUAAUGUAGUGUAGUGUAAUGUAGUGUAAUGUAAUGUAAUGUAAUGUAAUGUAAUGUAGUGUAACAUAAUGUAAUGUAGUGUAAUGUAAUGUAAUGUGAUGUAUUACAGUGUUGCACUAUGUGAAUGGUGUAAAACAGGUGUCACCAACGUUGUGCCCGAGGGCGCCAGGUAGCCCUCCAGGAGCUUCUGAGUUGCCCACCAAGGAUGUAUAUAAACAGUGACCACUACCAGAUUUUAGUCACAGUUAAUGCUUUUCUUGAUUUAAAUAUGUGAUUAUUUAUUCUUUAUAGCCUAGAAGUAAAUUAUCAUUCAAUAAUAGUGUGAUUUGAGAAUGAUGCCAAGACAUCAGUAGAGGAUUUUGAACAAAAGUAGCCCUCGGAUAGCCCUCAGAAGCCCUCGGGUAGCCCUCGGUAGCCCUUGGAUAGCCCUUGGUAGCCCUCAGACCCAGAAAGGUUGGGGACCCCUGGUGUAAAAUAUCAUAAUGUAGUGCAGACUGUUUUAUAAUAUCUUACUGACAGUUCAAUCAACUGCCAAUCAAUUAUCGAACUGGUGUAAGAUAUCAUCAUGUGGUUUGUAUAGAAUGUUUUAUAAGAUCUUAGUAAUUAAGUAAUUAUUCUGCAACAGUAUCUGAAUGGUGUCAAAUAUCACAUUACAGUGCUGCAGUAUCUGACUGGUAUAAAAAGA